rnacentral:lncRNA from 1 species
GGAGAAAGACACAACAAACAAUAAAGAUGAGUCAAUCUCAUUAGCAUCCAAGGGGCAGGAAGUGAAGAGGCAGUCUGUGAUGCUGGCUAGAAAUGGAAACAUCAGGACCCAAGACUCAUUGCUCUGCUUCUCCUGAAGGGUGGGGAAGAGGAUUAACUAAGAGUGGGGGAAGAGGAUUAACAAGAUUGCUCACCUGUGCUGAGUGUCUAUUUGAGUCAGGUUCAUGGUUUUCUCCAGCAAAGUUCAGCUACUUAUAUGCAGACUCAGAGUAAGAGAGAAGUGAGGUGUAAUUAGGACUGAGAUUCUACAGGAAAGUAUGACUGAGGAGACAGGCCAGAGAGAGAUGAGAAUCUGCAGGCAGCAACUGCUGUUCUGGACAUGGGAUUUGGCCUGGGUAUGAAGGAAAGUAAAGAUAUGGGGAGAGGAAGUGAUAUCAUCCACAAAGGAAGCAGUAAUAGAGGAAUAGAGGAACAAAGA